AUGGCUACAAGGCUCCUCUGUUACACAGUACUUUGUCUCCUGGGUGCAAGAAUUUUGAAUUCAAAAGUCAUUCAGACUCCAAGAUAUCUGGUGAAAGGGCAAGGACAAAAAGCAAAGAUGAGGUGUAUCCCUGAAAAGGGACAUCCAGUUGUAUUCUGGUAUCAACAAAAUAAGAACAAUGAGUUUAAAUUUUUGAUUAACUUUCAGAAUCAAGAAGUUCUUCAGCAAAUAGACAUGACUGAAAAACGAUUCUCUGCUGAGUGUCCU